AGUGAACGCUGGCGGUAGGCCUAACACAUGCAAGUCGAACGGCAGCACAGUAAGAGCUUGCUCUUACGGGUGGCGAGUGGCGGACAGGUGAGGAAUACAUCGGAAUCUACUUUUUCGUGGGGGAUAACGUAGGGAAACUUACGCUAAUACCGCAUACGACCUACGGGUGAAAGCAGUGGAUCUUCGGACCUUGCGCGAUUGAAUGAGCCGAUGUCGGAUUAGCUAGUUGGCGGGGUAAAGGCCCACCAAGGCGACGAUCCGUAGCUGGUCUGAGAGGAUGAUCGGCCACACUGGAACUGAGACACGGUCCAGACUCCUACGGGAGGCAGCAGUGGGGAAUAUUGGACAAUGGGCGCAAGCCUUAUCCAGCCAUACCGCGUGGGUGAAGAAGGCCUUCGGGUUGUAAAGCCCUUUUGUUGGGAAAGAAAAGCAGCAGGUUAAUACCCCGCUGUUCUGACGGUACCCAAAGAAUAAGCACCGGCUAACUUCGUG
rnacentral:rRNA from 1 species